CGUACGGAAUCCGUACGGUUUCCGUACGAUUUCCGUACGGUUUCCGUGCGGUUUUGCACUUUCACCGCGCCAUUCUAGGGCCGGAUUGUGGCCUUCUUGGCUUUCCAUAUACGAAUGCAGCCUUCUUUUCCCGGAUUUGAAGGAUGCAUCGGCUGUAUCCUUCACGGCCCAACGUAUCCCAAGAUCCUUCACGGCCCAACGUAUCCCUCCCAAGAUUCAUUGCGCACUCAAUCAAUGGAGAUGGCGGAGAAUGGCGAUUUAAGUUUUGCACUUAAAUGAUUGCAAGUAUCCUGGGUCAGGAGAGGGGGUAGGUGGGAAACCCACAGCUGCCACUUGGCCCUGGUUUGUCCCCAUGGAUGAGGUAUUGGGACAGAGGCAUUCCAUCAACCCCCCUGUCCUAAUUGCCUCCAUCCCUGAGAACACACCAGGGCCAAUUACAGCAAGUACAGCAGUGGUGGAUCAGGAGGUGGAGGACAAGGAUCAGGAGGAGGAAAGACAGCGAGGGCCAAGGUCCAGAAAGAGGGACAGAGGAAGACAUGUUCCAGAGUCGCUCACUAUCUUCCGAAAAGGACUCAAGACUCACCUGUUCAGAGUCCACCUCAACUCUGCAUAGCCACCCUCCCCCUUCUGGCCACCAUUGUACACUGUGUUGUAUUGUAUUGCAUUGUAUUAUAGUACUUAACUGUGUAGCAACUGCAGUAGCUGCUAUCAUGGCUGUAACAUGGGGAAUUGAUUAGCCUAGCGAUUGUGAUACUUGCACUUGGUUCUAUGAACAUCCUUUCUGUACCGACAGCGAUAUAUUGAUGCACUUCUUAUGACAAAUGUACUUAUUGUAAGUCGCUUUGGAUAAAAGCGUCUGCUAAAUGCCCUAAAUGUAAAUGUAAAAUGUAAAUGUUCCAGUUAAUAAAAGAGGACAUGAGGCUACAAAGUGAGGCAGAGGAGAGAAGAGUCCAGGAGAGCAGGGAAAGAAUGGAUAGGUUUUUCUCAAUUUUGGAGCGUUUGGUGGACAAAUAACUUAUGUUCUGUUACAUUUAACACAUUGAUUAUUAUUAUUUACAUAUUUAUUGAAACU
ensembl:lncRNA